ensembl:lncRNA
GCCACCCUUACUCAUUACAGAACAUUCUCUCUUCUUAUCUUGCCUUUUUUUAGCCUGAAGGACAAAGACGGAGAGAGGAGUCUUGAUUUUCCUUGUUAGUCUGCUCCAGCUGGCAGCCUUGCCAAUCUCUAAUAUCAGUUGUGAUGUGACAGUUAUUUUUUUUUUAACUCUAGCAUCUCAUUUUAUGCAAUUUUAUGGGUAACAGGAUGGGAAUUCAGCUUAGAAAACUUUUGACAAACAAUCAUUCAACAAUAAAAAUGAGGACAAAAAGGAUGACUAUGACAAGCAAAAUAAAACAGCCCCUGCUAUGCCAAGAAUGUACACUAAUCAUGUGUCCAAGGGACACGCUUCUUAUCUGUUUAAUAAUGACCUGGAACCUCCUUCUCAUCACAUCUCUCUUGGGCUCUGUAGUCGCCCAAAGCUGACUCAUGUCUGAAUUUAGAACAGUGGACACCCAGAGCCUCAGACUCUGAGCUUCAGAAGGGACCUCAGUGUGCAUUCUGGUUGAUUGGGUCCACCGCGUCCCCCACACAUGUUGGGAGUUAGAGAAACAAGAAUGAAGAGGGUUAUGGGUUGAACUGCAUCCCCUGAAAAGAUGUGUCAAAGCCUUAAUCCCCAGCACUUGUGGACGCACCCUUAUUUGGAAAUAGGGUCUCUGCAGAUGUAAUCAAGUUUCAGAUGAGGUCAUUAGGGUGGCCCCAAUCCAAUACAACUGCUGUCCUUCCCAGAGGAGGAGGGAUCCUGGGACAGACACAGGAGAGGAGAACACCAUGUAACAGAUGGAGGCAGAACUCGAAGGGCUGCAGCUGUGAGCUUAGAGAGCCAAGGACUGCUGGCAACCCAUCCAAAUCCAGCAAGAGGCAAGGAAAGAUGCUCCCCUCCAGGUUUCAGAAGGAGCCUGACCGUGCCAAUACCUUGAUUUCAGACUUCAGCCUCCAAAAUGGUGAGAUGAGUGAGACAUCUCUGUUGUUUCAAGCCACGUGGUUUGUGACGCUUGUUUCAGCAGCCCUAGCAAAUGGAUACUUGGAGAAGGAAAUGGCAACCCACUCCAGUGUUCUUGCCUGGAGAAUCCCAGGGACGGGGAAGCCUGGUGGGCUGCCGUCUCUGGGGUCGCACAGAGUCAGACACGACUGAAUCGACUUAGCAGCAGACUUAGCAGCAGGAAAUGGAUACAGAGAGUUAGGCAAACUGCCCAUGAUCCCAGGGUGAGGCCAUGCACUUUCCACGGCAUCUCAGGGAGAACCUCGAGGCAGUCAGUAACUACUGUGGCUGCAGAUGCUGGGUUCACUGGUGAUGGUGGGGCCCGUCUGGUCUCCCCACUGGAAAGAUGCUUUAGUUUCAAGGAAGCUGAAUCAACCAGCGCACAUGGUCACUUGAAUCAGGACACUCCAGACACAGAGACGGGAGACAGUGCAGAGCCAAGGACAGAAGGGCCAGGAGAGAGGCUCUCCUCUCGGGAGGAAGUGACAAUAAUAAAAAUUUAAAUAUAAGAAGAAU